ACUAACUCGCGCGGGUAACGCGCGAGAUGAGUGAACGCUCCCAGCAUUCUUUGCAACAACAGUUCGUCCAUGUUGUUGAACCGCGAAAGUUGAACGAGGCUGAAAAAAGGCAGACGAAAAGGACUUUCUUCUUAUCAGUGUACCUGCUGUAUAUUCAGGGAGAACGCUUCGAGCUGGAGAACUUUGUUGGCGAGCGAUAUCGAUUGAACUCGGAUUGCAGCUGAAGACAAAAUACCUGGGGAUAAGACAGGAGGAGGAUACUAUCCACAAACUUAUUCUAAAAUGAUUAUUUAUUUAUUUAUUUAUUUAUUUAUUUUUUUGCAAUCCAGGACCAGGUAAACACUUGUGUUCUUAUGCAAUGAUCAAAUCAAAACUUAAUCUGGCUCCUUCAGGGGAAUCCCCCAAGGGCAUCCCUACAGGGUACCCAAGUCAUCAAAUUCUACAGCAGAGAAAGAAUUAAAAUGCACCACUUUUUUUCUUUUGUUAAUUAAUGCACUAUUGUAAGUUAUAGCAUCCAAAAUAGUCUGGGAAAUUUUUGUUUUCAAAAUCAGGGAAGGUUCAGGGAAUAAAUGGAGAAAAUGGGGAGGUUCCCUUUUGUACUGUACCUUU